GCCGGUGUAGUGCAAUGGUAGAACGCGCCGCCAGCUUGGGCGAGAUCUGGUCGAAUCCCAGCACUGGCA